rnacentral:pre_miRNA from 1 species
CUACUACUCUCUCCGUCCGAAAAUACUUGUCAUUAAAAUGGAUGUAUCUAGAUGUAUUUUAGUUCUAGACACAUCCAUUUUGAUGACAAGUAAUUCCGGACGGAGGGAGUAUUAU